UGCCGCUGCUGCUCCGACAUGACUUCCCCAGCACGGUCCGAGUCACUGCAAGGUAGAGCCUCGCCACCACCUCCGUCCCCACCAGCACUGCGCUAACACCAGUCAAGGACCCGCCAGAAGUCCGACGCUGAAGGACAGUACCCGUUGCAGACGCAGCACACGCUAGCCGCAGCCGGUCCGCGCGGACGAACCACCCAGCACGUCUGGAACCACCGAAUGGGGCGGAGCCUCCGCCCUCACCGUGAAGGCUGUCGGGAGCAUCUUCAUGCCAUGAACAAAGAUGGCGGACGAACCUCACUAGCUGAACCAAUCAGAAGACAACCUGGUAGGGGACUUCGGGGAAAGUUCACGCGAGAGGAGAGGAACAGACCGCCUCUGUGUGCGCACGCGCGUCAUCUCAGCCCGAGUCCGCUGCUUGGCUUCUGAGAUGGGGAAGUUUGCAUCUAGUGUCAAGAGACCGCUCGGAAGCCGGCGACGGGCAGUGAAUUCUGCAGCCUUCGCUUUGAAAAUUGUUUUAUUCAUUGGUUAAUGUACCUAACAGCAUUGUAAACCAA